UAAGCGGAGGAAAAGAAACCAACAGGGAUUGCCUCAGUAACGGCGAGUGAAGCGGCAACAGCUCAAAUUUGAAAUCUGGCUCCCUUGGGGGUCCGAAUUGUAAUUUGCAGAGGAUGCCUCGGGUGCGGGUUCCUUCCGAGUUCCCUGGAACGGGACGCCAUAGAGGGUGAGAGCCCCGUCUGGUCGGAAACCCAGCCCAUGUGAGGCUCCCUCGACGAGUCGAGUAGUUUGGGAAUGCUGCUCUAAGGGGAGGUAUACUCCUUCCAAGGCUAAAUACCGGCUAGAGACCGAUAGCGCACAAGUAGAGUGAUCGAAAGAUGAAAAGCACUUUGAAAAGAGAGUCAAAUAGCACGUGAAAUUGCUGAAAGGGAAGCGCUUAUUACCAGACUUGGGUUCGGCGGUUCAACCGGCGCCACGCGCCGGGGCACUCCGCCGGCCCAGGCCAGCAUCAGCUCUCCGUCGGGGGCAAAGGCGUCGGGAAUGUAGCUCCCCCUCGGGGGAGUGUUAUAGCCCGGCGUGUCAUACCCUUCGGGGGGCUGAGGUCCGCGCUCCGCAAGGAUGCUGGCGUAAUGGUAAUCAGUGACCCGUCUUGAACCAACGGACC
rnacentral:rRNA from 1 species